rnacentral:rRNA from 1 species
UACGUAGGGGGCAAGCGUUGUCCGGAUUUAUUGGGCGUAAAGAGCUCGUAGGCGGCUUGUUGCGUCGACCGUGAAAACCCGUGGCUUAACUGCGGGCUUGCGGUCGAUACGGGCGGGCUGGAGUUCGGUAGGGGAGACUGGAAUUCCUGGUGUAGCGGUGAAAUGCGCAGAUAUCAGGAGGAACACCGGUGGCGAAGGCGGGUCUCUGGGCCGAUACUGACGCUGAGGAGCGAAAGCGUGGGGAGCGAACAGG